GACGAACGCUGGCGGCGUGCCUAACACAUGCAAGUCGAACGGAGAUAAUCGCUGAACGGAAGACAGCUUGCUGGAAGAAGUUCUUGGUUAUCUUAGUGGCGGACGGGUGAGUAACACGUGAGUAACCUGCCGAAGAGUGUGGAAUAACGCCCCGAAAGGGACACUAAUACCGCAUGAUACUUUGUUGCCGCAUGGUGAUAAAGUCAAAGGAGCAAUCCGCUCUUCGAUGGACUCGCGUCCGAUUAGAUAGUUGGUGAGGUAACGGCUCACCAAGUCGACGAUCGGUAGCCGGGCUGAGAGGCUGAACGGCCACAUUGGGACUGAGACACGGCCCAGACUCCUACGGGAGGCAGCAGUGAGGAAUAUUGGGCAAUGGGGGAAACCCUGACCCAGCAACGCCGCGUGAGGGAAGACGGUUUUCGGAUUGUAAACCUCUGUCCUCUGUGAAGAUAAUGACGGUAGCAGAGGAGGAAGCUCCGGCUAACUACGUGCCAGCCGCCGCCGUAAAAC
rnacentral:rRNA from 1 species